rnacentral:rRNA from 1 species
AAUCAACGCUGGCGGCGCGCUUAACACAUGCAAGUCGCACGAGAAAGGGAGCAAUCCUGAGUAAAGUGGCGUACGGGUGAGUAACACGUGGGAAUCUACCUCUUGGCGGGGAAUAACCCUGGGAAACCGGGGCUAAUACCGCAUAAGCACGUGAGAGGAAAGCAGCAAUGCACCGAGAGAGGAGCCGGCGUCGGAUUAGCUAGUUGGCGGGGUAAUGGCUCACCAAGGCGAGGAUCCGUAGCCGGCCGGAGAGGACACUCGGCCAGACUGGAACUGAAACACGGACCAGACUCCUACGGGAGGAAGAAGUGGGGAAUAUUGGACAAUGGGAGGAAGGGUGAUCCAGGCAUACCGCGUGGGUCAAGAAGGCCUUAGGGUUGUAAAGCCAUUUUGUUGGGAGAGAAAAGAAGCAGGUUAAUAAACCGCUGUUCUGACGGUACCCAAAGAAAAAGCACCGGCUAACUUCGUG